rnacentral:rRNA from 1 species
GCGCACCAGGCGAGAAACCUCUACAAUGUGCGAAAGCAUGAUAGGGGGACUCCAAGUGUCUCUCUAAAGAGAGACUUUUGUAGUAUGUAAAAGUACUACGAAUAAGGGGUGGUCAAGACUAGUGCCAGCCUCCGCGGUAACACUAGCAGCCCGAGUGGUAGUCAUUUUUAUUUGGCUUAAAGCGUCCGUAGUCUGAUUAGUAAGUUCUCUGUGAAAUCCUGUUGCUUAACAAUAGGGCUUGCAGAGAAUACUACCAAUCUUGGAGCCAGGGAGGGGUUAGGGGUAUUCCGGGGGUAGCGGUGAAAUGCUAUAAUCCCCGGAGGACCACCAAUGGCGAAGGCACCUAACUGGAAUGGGCUCGACGAUGAGGGACGAAAGCUAGGGGAGCAAACCGGAUUAGAUACCCGGGGUAGU